GGAUAAUUUGCUCUUUUAGUAUUUAUCCAGUAGGUUUCCCCAACGAGAAAGCCCCC
rnacentral:snRNA from 1 species